GGAUGUAACUCAGUGGCACAGUGCUGGCCUAGCAUGGGUGAAGCCCUGGGUUCAAUCCCCAGCACCA
rnacentral:tRNA from 1 species